GGCUAAUGACGGUACCUGAAGAAUAAGCACCGGCUAACUACGUGCCAGCAGCCGCGGUAAUACGUAGGGUGCAAGCGUUAAUCGGAAUUACUGGGCGUAAAGCGUGCGCAGGCGGUCAUGCAAGACAGAUGUGAAAUCCCCGGGCUCAACCUGGGAACUGCAUUUGUGACUGCAUGACUUGAGUACGGUAGAGGGGGAUGGAAUUCCGCGUGUAGCAGUGAAAUGCGUAGAUAUGCGGAGGAACACCGAUGGCGAAGGCAAUCCCCUGGACCUGUACUGACGCUCAUGCACGAAAGCGUGGGGAGCAAACAGGAUUAGAUACCCUGGUAGUCCACGCCCUAAACGAUGUCAACUGGUUGUUGGGAGGGUUUCUUCUCAGUAACGAAGCUAACGCGUGAAGUUGACCGCCUGGGGAGUACGGCCGCAAGGUUGAAAACUCAAAGGAAUUGACGGGGACCCGCACAAGCGGUGGAUGAUGUGGUUUAAUUCGAUGCAACG
rnacentral:rRNA from 1 species